rnacentral:rRNA from 1 species
GACGAACGCUGGCGGCGUGCUUAACACAUGCAAGUCGAACGGAAAGGCCCUGCGCUUGUGGGGUUCUCGAUUGGCGAACGGGUGAGAAACACGUGAGUAACCUGCCCUUGACAUUGUGGUAACUUCAGGAAACUGGGGCUCAUACCGGAUAGGAUCUCCUGCUGCAUGUGGUGGGUUGGAAAGUUUCGGCGGUUGGGGAUGGUCUGGCGGGUUAUCAGCUUGUUGGUGGGGUAGUGGCUUACCAAGGCUUUGACGGGUAGCCGGCCUGGGAGGGUGACCGGCCACAUUGGGACUGAGAUACGGAGCAGACUCCUACGGGAGGCAGCAGUGGGGAAUCUUACACAGUGGGCGGAAGCCUGAUGCAGCAACGCCGCGUGCGGGAUGACGGCCUUCGGGUUGUAAACCGCUUUCGCCUGUGACGAAGCGUGAGUGACGGUAAUGGGUAAAGAAGCAACGGCUAACUACGUG